UACGAAGGGGGCUAGCGUUGUUCGGAAUUACUGGCGUAAAGCGCACGUAGGCGGAUAUUUAAGUCAGGGGUGAAAUCCCCAGAGCUCAACUCUGGAACUGCCUUUGAUACUGGGUAUCUUGAGUAUGGAAGAGGUAAGUGGAAUUGCGAGUGUAGAGGUGAAAUUCGUAGAUAUUCGCAGGAACACCAGUGGCGAAGGCGGCUUACUGGUCCAUUACUGACGCUGAGG
rnacentral:rRNA from 1 species